rnacentral:rRNA from 1 species
GUGUCAGCAGCCGCGGUAAUACGGAGGGUGCAAGCGUUAUCCGGAUUCACUGGGUUUAAAGGGUGCGUAGGUGGGUCUGUAAGUCCGUGGUGAAAUCUCCGAGCUUAACUUGGAAACUGCCAUGGAUACUAUAGAUCUUGAAUAUUGUGGAGGUCAGCGGAAUAUGUCAUGUAGCGGUGAAAUGCUUAGAGAUGACAUAGAACACCAAUUGCGAAGGCAGCUGGCUACGCAUAUAUUGACACUGAGGCACGAAAGCGUGGGGAUCAAACAGGAUUAGAUACCCUUGUAGUCC